rnacentral:lncRNA from 10 species
UUCAGCCUCCCAGAGUGCUGGGAUUAAGGGUGUGAGCCACUGCACCUGGCCCCAAAACUUUCAUUUUAAAGACCUGUGUUUUCUGCACAUAGAGCCGCAGAAACUAUUAGUACUGGGGAGUACCAAGCAUGAUAUUUAAGGGCAACACUGACUAUUCUAAAAUGCACGUGUUUUAUUUAAGUCUGUGAAAGUACACAGAUAAAGAACAGUAUCAAUGUCAUGUGUCACAGGCAGUAGGACAGACAGGGAAAACAAUGAUAUAAGAUAGAACCACAUAUCCAUGGUCAAUUGACUCAAUGUGGAAAUAAUAAGCUUUUCAAGAAAUGGUGUAAGAAUAACUGAGUAUUCUUCUAGGAAUUUUUAAAAAACCCUUUUUUCAUACUAUUUAGAAGGUUUUAUCAAAAUGUAUCAUAGACGUAAAUGAAAAAGCUGAACUAUUAAGCAUCUAGGUGAAAACACAUGAACAACUCUUCUUGAACUUGGUAUAGAAAAGAUUUUUUAGGGCUGAGCAUGGUGGCUCAUGCUUGUAAUCCCAGCAAUCUGGGAGGCCGAGGCAGGCAGAUUACUUGAGGUCAGGAGUUUGAGAACAGCCUGGCCAACAAUGAUGAAACCCCAUCUCUACAAAAAAAUGCAAAAAAAAAAAAAAAAAAAAAUUAGCCUGGCUUGGUGGCGUGCACCUGUAAUCCCAGCUCCUUGGGAGACUGAGGCAGGAGAAUUGCUUGAAUCCAGGAGGUGGAGGUUGCAAAAAAAAAAGAAAAGAAAAGAAAAGAAAAGAAAAGGUUGUUUAGAUAGGACACUAAAAGCAUGAAUCAUAAUAUUUUUAAAAAUGGAUGAAGUGGACUUUAUCAAAAUUCAAAAUUAUCUUUAAACAACAUCAUUAAUAAAAGAAAAGAUAAGCUGCAUACUGGGAAAAAACAUUACAUAAAAUAUAUUUAUUAUAUAUUCAGAAUAUAUAAACAACUCAAUUACAAAAGACAAGCAACUCAACAGACUACUGACAAAAUAUAUGAACAAAUACUUCACAGAAAAAUAAUACACACACACACACUCUCACACACACGGAGCCAAUAGGUAUAUAAACAAAGAUACCAUCAUUAUUAGUGAUCAGAGCACUGCAAAUUAAAGACACAAUGAGAUAUCCCUACAUGACCACGAGCAUAAAUAACAUUUUCAAGCUUGACAAUAACAAGCACUAAAUAUAAAGCAACUACAACCCUCCUACAUUCACAGUGCAAAGUGAAACGACAACUUUUGAAAAACAGUGCAGCAUAUGAACCUAAACAUGUAACCAAGAAAAAAAAAUAGAAAUAGCCUAUAGACAAAGACGUGUCCACUGAUACCAUGCAUUUUUAUUCAUAAUAGCUCAGACAGGUAAAUACCUCCAUUGUAAAAAUAAAUAAAUAAAUAAGCUAUUCCACUGGGAUUAUGAAAUUUUUUAAAAAUUUGCACAGUCUCAUUAUCCCUGUGUAUUUAAUUUUCUCCUCUGGGAGCCUGCAGCAUUUACCUUGGAAGUGCCCCAAGCAGGUGACUGAGCCAGUUUCACUCACCUUUGGUUGACCUCACCUGGAAAUAAUGGGGAAAUUGUAUUUUUCUCACAUUCUAAGCACACCUGGUUGACCUAUGAUGCAAUAAUAAUUACAUAGUUGGGUUCUCUGCACCAGAUAGCUCCUUCCAUUGCAAAAACAUUGCCAUUCAUGCAUUUUCACCCCCCAGCUAAACCUCACAUGAAGGUCUAAGAAAGAACAGUAGAUUGUGUCAAAAAUCAUUGAUUUCUGAGUUGCUGUUUUUUUUAAAAAAUGCUAGUGUUUGGUGCCAUCUAGUGGGUUCAAUUUGCUAUUUAAGCCACACAAGAAAAUCACCAUAACAGAGGGAAGAGAGAGGAUCCUUUUAAAAUAAAUGAAAUCAAGAAUUGCUUUUCAAAAAUAAGUGUGGGCCGGGCGUGGUGGCUCAUGCCUGUAAUCUUAGCACUUUGGGAGGCCGAGGCGGGUGGGUCACUUCAGGUCAGGAGUUCAAGAACAGCCUGGCCAACAUGGUAAAACCCCGUAUCUACUGAAAAUACAAAAAUUAGCCGGGAUGUUGGCGGGCGCCUGUAGUCCCAGCUACUCAGGAGGCUGAGGC